UGGUGGCGAGUGGCGAACGGGUGAGUAAUGCAUCGGAACGUGCAUGAGUGGGGAUAACGUAGCGAAAGUUGCGCUAAUACCGCAUAUUCUGUGAGCAGGAAAGCAGGGGACCGCAAGGCCUUGCGCUCUUUGAGCGGCCGAUGUCAGAUUAGUUAGUUGGUGAGGUAACGGCUUACCAAGGCGACGAUCUGUAGCGGGUCUGAGAGGAUGAUCCGCCACACUGGAACUGAGACACGGUCCAGACUCCUACGGGAGGCAGCAGUGGGGAAUUUUGGACAAUGGGCGCAAGCCUGAUCCAGCCAUGCCGCGUGAGUGAAGAAGGCCUUCGGGUUGUAAAGCUCUUUCGGCCGGGAAGAGAUCGCAUGGGUUAAUACCCUGUGUGGAUGACGGUACCGGAAUAAGAAGCACCGGCUAACUACGUG
rnacentral:rRNA from 1 species